rnacentral:rRNA from 1 species
AAACUUUCAACAACGGAUCUCUUGGUUCUGGCAUCGAUGAAGAACGCAGCGAAAUGCGAUAAGUAAUGUGAAUUGCAGAAUUCAGUGAAUCAUCGAAUCUUUGAACGCACAUUGCGCCCGCCAGUAUUCUGGCGGGCAUGCCUGUUCGAGCGUCAUUUCAACCCUCAGGCCCCCAGUGCCUGGCGUUGGGGAUCGGCGCGGGCACGCAACUCGUCCUCCGGGGCGGGCUGCGGCGCCUGCCGGCCCCGAAAUUCAGUGGCGGUCUCGCUGUAGUCCCCCUCUGCGUAGUAGCACAACUCGCAUUGGAGCUCGGCGGUGGCCAUGCCGUAAAACACCCCACUUCUGAAAGUUGACCUCGGAUCAGGUAGGAAUACCCGCUGAACUUAAGCAUAUCAAUAAGCGGAG